rnacentral:rRNA from 1 species
AGAGUUUGAUCCUGGCUCAGGAUGAACGCUGGCGGCGUGCCUAACACAUGCAAGUCGAACGAAGCACAUUGGAUUGAUUCUUCGGAAGAAAGAGAAUGUGACUGAGUGGCGGACGGGUGAGUAACGCGUGGGUAACCUGCCUCAUACAGGGGGAUAACAGUUAGAAAUGACUGCUAAUACCGCAUAAGACCACGGAGUCGCAUGACUCAGUGGGAAAAACUCCGGUGGUAUGAGAUGGACCCGCGUCUGAUUAGGUAGUUGGUGGGGUAACGGCCUACCAAGCCGACGAUCAGUAGCCGACCUGAGAGGGUGACCGGCCACAUUGGGACUGAGACACGGCCCAAACUCCUACGGGAGGCAGCAGUGGGGAAUAUUGCACAAUGGGGGAAACCCUGAUGCAGCGACGCCGCGUGAGCGAAGAAGUAUUUCGGUAUGUAAAGCUCUAUCAGCAGGGAAGAAAAUGACGGUCACCUGACUAAGAAGCACCGGCUAAAUACGUGCCAGCAGCCGCGGUAAUACGUAUGGUGCAAGCGUUAUCCGGAUUUACUGGGUGUAAAGGGAGCGUAGACGGCUGUGUAAGUCUGAAGUGAAAGCCCGGGGCUCAACCCCGGGACUGCUUUGGAAACUAUGCAGCUAGAGUGUCGGAGAGGUAAGUGGAAUUCCCAGUGUAGCGGUGAAAUGCGUAGAUAUUGGGAGGAACACCAGUGGCGAAGGCGGCUUACUGGACGAUGACUGACGUUGAGGCUCGAAAGCGUGGGGAGCAAACAGGAUUAGAUACCCUGGUAGUCCACGCCGUAAACGAUGACUACUAGGUGUCGGGUGUCACAGGCAUUCGGUGCCGCAGCACACGCAAUAAGUAGUCCA